rnacentral:rRNA from 1 species
GACGAACGCUGGCGGCGUGCUUAACACAUGCAAGUCGAACGGAAAGGCCCUGCUUUUGUGGGGUGCUCGAGUGGCGAACGGGUGAGUAACACGUGAGUAACCUGCCCUUGACUUUGGGAUAACUUCAGGAAACUGGGGCUAAUACCGGAUAGGAGCUCCUGCUGCAUGGUGGGGGUUGGAAAGUUUCGGCGGUUGGGGAUGGACUCGCGGCUUAUCAGCUUGUUGGUGGGGUAGUGGCUUACCAAGGCUUUGACGGGUAGCCGGCCUGAGAGGGUGACCGGCCACAUUGGGACUGAGAUACGGCCCAGACUCCUACGGGAGGCAGCAGUGGGGAAUAUUGCACAAUGGGCGGAAGCCUGAUGCAGCAACGCCGCGUGCGGGAUGACGGCCUUCGGGUUGUAAACCGCUUUCGCCUGUGACGAAGCGUGAGUGACGGUAAUGGGUAAAGAAGCACCGGCUAACUACGCGCCAGCAGCCGCGGUGAUACGUAGGGUGCGAGCGUUGUCCGGAUUUAUUGGGCGUAAAGGGCUCGUAGGUGGUUGAUCGCGUCGGAAGUGUAAUCUUGGGGCUUAACCCUGAGCGUGCUUUCGAUACGGGUUGACUUGAGGAAAGUAGGGGAGAAUGGGAUUCCUGGUGGAGCGGUGGAAUGCGCAGAUAUCAGGAGGAACACCAGUGGCGAAGGCGGUUCUCUGGGCCUUUCCUGACGCUGAGGAGCGAAAGCGUGGGGAGCGAACAGGCUUAGAUACCCUGGUAGUCCACGCUGUAAACGGUGGGUACUAGGUGUGGGGUCCAUUCCACGGGUUCCGUGCCGUAGCUAACGCUUUAAGUACCCCGCCUGGGGAGUACGGCCGCAAGGCUAAAACUCAAAGGAAUUGACGGGGCCCCGCACAAGCGGCGGAGCAUGCGGAUUAAUUCGAUGCAACGCGUAGAACCUUACCUGGGUUUGACAUGGAUCGGGAGUGCUCAGAGAUGGGUGUGCCUCUUUUGGGGUCGGUUCACAGGUGGUGCAUGGCUGUCGUCAGCUCGUGUCGUGAGAUGUUGGGUUAAGUCCCGCAACGAGCGCAACCCUUGUUCACUGUUGCCAGCACGUUAUGGUGGGGACUCAGUGGAGACCGCCGGGGUCAACUCGGAGGAAGGUGGGGAUGACGUCAAGUCAUCAUGCCCCUUAUGUCCAGGGCUUCACGCAUGCUACAAUGGCUGGUACAGAGAGUGGCGAGCCUGUGAGGGUGAGCGAAUCUCGGAAAGCCGGUCUCAGUUCGGAUUGGGGUCUGCAACUCGACCUCAUGAAGUCGGAGUCGCUAGUAAUCGCAGAUCAGCAACGCUGCGGUGAAUACGUUCUCGGGGCU